rnacentral:rRNA from 1 species
GACGAAGGUGGCGAGCGUUGUUCGGAAUCACUGGGCAUAAAGCGCACGUAGGCGGUGUCAUAAGUCGGGUGUGAAAUCCCCCGGCCCAACCGGGGAACUGCGUCCAGUACUGCGUUGCUUGAGGAUCCAAGGGGUGCAUGGAAUUCCCGGUGGAGCGGUGAAAUGCGCAGAUAUCGGGAAGAACACCCGUGGCGAAGGCGGCACUCUGGGACGGUACUGACGCUGAGACGCGAAAGCGUGGGGAGCGAACAGG